rnacentral:rRNA from 1 species
UACGUAGGGUGCUAGCGUUGUUCGGAAUCAUUGGGCGUAAAGCGAGUGCAGGCCGUUAGUUAAGUCGGGUGUGAAAUCCCUGGGCUCAACCGAGGAAGUGCAUCCGAAACUAACUAGCUAGAGAAUGGUAGAGGAAGGUGGAAUUCCAAGUGUAGAGGUGAAAUUCGUAGAUAUUUGGAGGAAUACCGGAGGCGAAGGCGGCCUUCUGGACCAUUUCUGACGCUGAGACUCGAAAGCGUGGGGAGCAAACAG